UAAUAGCAUAGGUGGAAAUAUUUGAUUAC
rnacentral:piRNA from 1 species